rnacentral:rRNA from 2 species
UACUACUUUCAUGUUGGAACACAGAAAGUCGGAAACGGUCCGCCGCCGGAGGACGUGACUGCGGCCGAUUAGGUAGAUGGUGGGGUAACGGCCCACCAUGCCGAUAAUCGGUACGGGUUGUGAGAGCAAGAACCCGGAGACGGUAUCUGAGACAAGAUACCGGGCCCUACGGGGCGCAGCAGGCGCGAAACCUUUACACUGCACGCCAGUGCGAUAAGGGGACCCCGAGUGCGAGGGCAUACAGUCCUCGCUUUUCGUGACCGUAAGGUGGUCACAGAAUAAGAGCUGGGCAAGACCGGUGCCAGCCGCCGCGGUAAUACCGGCAGCUCGAGUGAUAGCCACUUUUAUUGGGCCUAAAGCGUCCGUAGCCGGCCGAACAGGUCCGUCGGGAAAUCCACUCGCUCAACGAGUGGACGUCCGGCGGAAACCAGUCGGCUUGGGGCCGGGAGACCAGAGAGGUACGUCCGGGGUAGGAGUGAAAUCCUGUAAUCCUGGACGGACCGCCGGUAGCGAAAGCGUCUCUGGAGAACGGACCCGACGGUGAGGGACGAAAGCUUGGGUCUCGAACCGGAUUAGAUACCCGGGUAGUCCAAGCCGUAAACGAUGCUCGCUAGGUGUGGCGUUGGCUACGAGCCAGCGCUGUGCCGUAGGGAAGCCGAGAAGCGAGCCGCCUGGGAAGUACGUCCGCAAGGAUGAAACUUAAAGGAAUUGGCGGGGGAGCACUACAACCGGAGGAGCCUGCGGUUUAAUUGGACUCAACGCCGGACAUCUCACCGGCACCGACAGUGUGCAGUGACAGUCAGUCUGAUGGGCUUACUUGAGCCACUGAGAGGAGGUGCAUGGCCGCCGUCAGCUCGUACCGUGAGGCGUCCUGUUAAGUCAGGCAACGAGCGAGACCCGCGUCCCUAAUUGCCAGCAGCAGCCUUGUGCUGGCUGGGUACAUUAGGGAGACUGCCGUCGCUAAGACGGAGGAAGGAACGGGCAACGGUAGGUCAGUAUGCCCCGAAUGUGCCGGGCGACACGCGGGCUACAAUGGCCGAGACAGUGGGACGCUACCCCGAGAGGGGACGCUAAUCUCCUAACCUCGGUCGUAGUUCGGAUUGCGGGUUGAAACCCACCCGCAUGAAGCUGGAUUCGGUAGUAAUCGCUCUCAGAAGGGCGCGGUGAAUACGUCCCUG